rnacentral:rRNA from 1 species
AGAGUUUGAUCCUGGCUCAGAUUGAACGCUGGCGGCAUGCCUUACACAUGCAAGUCGAGCGGCAGCGCGGGGGCAACCCUGGCGGCGAGCGGCGAACGGGUGAGUAACACAUCGGAACGUACCCAGUUGUGGGGGAUAGCCCGGCGAAAGCCGGAUUAAUACCGCAUACGACCUGAGGGUGAAAGUGGGGGAUCGCAAGACCUCACGCAGUUGGAGCGGCCGAUGGCGGAUUAGCUAGUUGGUGGGGUAAAGGCCUACCAAGGCGACGAUCCGUAGCUGGUCUGAGAGGACGACCAGCCACACUGGAACUGAGACACGGUCCAGACUCCUACGGGAGGCAGCAGUGGGGAAUUUUGGACAAUGGGGGCAACCCUGAUCCAGCCAUUCCGCGUGAGUGAAGAAGGCCUUCGGGUUGUAAAGCUCUUUCAGCCGGGAAGAAAACGCAUGGGUUAAUACCCUGUGUGGAUGACGGUACCGGAAUAAGAAGCACCGGCUAACUACGUGCCAGCAGCCGCGGUAAUACGUAGGGUGCGAGCGUUAAUCGGAAUUACUGGGCGUAAAGCGUGCGCAGGCGGUUUUGUAAGACAGGCGUGAAAUCCCCGGGCUUAACCUGGGAACUGCGUUUGUGACUGCAAAGCUAGAGUACGGCAGAGGGGGGUGGAAUUCCACGUGUAGCAGUGAAAUGCGUAGAGAUGUGGAGGAACACCAGUGGCGAAGGCGAUCUGCUGGCUCGUAACUGACGCUGAGGCGCGAAAGUGUGGGGAGCAAACAGGAUUAGAUACCCUGGUAGUCC